ACUCCUACGGGAGGCAGCAGUAGGGAAUCUUCCACAAUGGGCGCAAGCCUGAUGGAGCAACACCGCGUGAGUGAAGAAGGGUUUCGGUCUCGUAAAGCUCUGUUGUUAAAGAAGAACACGUAUGAGAGUAACUGUUCAUACGUUGACGGUAUUUAACCAGAAAGUCACGGCUAACUACGUGCCAGCAGCCGCGGUAAUACGUAGGUGGCAAGCGUUAUCCGGAUUUAUUGGGCGUAAAGAGAGUGCAGGCGGUUUUCUAAGUCUGAUGUGAAAGCCUUCGGCUUAACCGGAGAAGUGCAUCGGAAACUGGAUAACUUGAGUGCAGAAGAGGGUAGUGGAACUCCAUGUGUAGCGGUGGAAUGCGUAGAUAUAUGGAAGAACACCAGUGGCGAAGGCGGCUACCUGGUCUGCAACUGACGCUGAGACUCGAAAGCAUGGGUAGCGAACAGGAUUAGAUACCCUGGUAGCUCGAUG
rnacentral:rRNA from 1 species